CGAGCUCUUCUUCUACGGCGUACAGCAGCUCUAUAAAUACCGACCGCUGCUUUACGCAUGCUCUCUUUUAUACAAUGGUGCAUCGGUGUUCGUGUGCUACGGCAAAACAAGAAAUUACGAUUAUGUCGCCUGGCGAAGGUGGAUGAAUAACCUCCAAAUGAAGAAUGUCCAGCUGUUAACACACAAGUGUUUGUGAUGUCGCACAAUAUACCACAGUACCUUGAUUCAAAUGGAUGAUUGCGUUGAUUGCAAUUCAGGACUGAAGAUUUCUCUCUGAAAGAGGAAUAGAAGUAAAGGAAGUGGUCGAACCAUACAUCUGUAUCAUCCUAGAGCAGGCUGGGGUCUUUUUGAAGAGUGGUCACCUUUUCUCCUGGGGACCCACUGUGAGUUUGUGGAUGAACUUGAUUGGCCUGGACAGGGUCCUGACCUCAACCCAAUAGGACAUCUUUGGGAUGAAUACGAGCGAGGCCUUCUUGUCCAACAUUAGUGUCUGACAAAUGUGCUUUUAGAAGAAUGUUCCUAACACACUAAGCCCUGUAAUAGCUGCAAAGGGCGGGCCUAUUCUAUAUUAAACCUAUGGAUUAAGAAUUGGACGUCAUUCAGGUUAAUGUGCAUGUAAAGGCAGGUGUCCCAAAACAUUUGGCAUUAUGGUGUAUGUACUGUCAUUGAAGAAAAUAAAAAUUACUGUUAAUUAUCA